GAUGAAGAACGCAGCGAAAUGCGAUACGUAGUGUGAAUUGCAGAAUUCAGUGAAUCAUCGAAUCUUUGAACGCACAUUGCACCUCUCAGUAUUCCGGGAGGUAUGCCUGUUCGAGCGUCAUUUGUACCCUCAAGCUCUGCUUGGUGUUGGGUGUUUGUUCCGCCUCUGUGUGUGAACUCGCCUCAAAACAAUUGGCAGCCGGCGUACUUGUUUCGGAGCGCAGCACAUUUUGCGAUCCAGAUCAACGUACAGCGGCAUCCAAGAAGCCUUAUUUAACGCUCUUGACCUCGGAUCAGGUAGGGAUACCCGCUGAACUUAAGCAUAUCAAUAAGCGGAGGA
rnacentral:misc_RNA from 1 species